CGGAACUGGUGAGCUAGCUCAAACGCUCGUCCUCAAAAUGCGCUCUCAGGGACCCUUUUUCUGAAGAAAUUACCAGUAUUAUUGGUUAUCAGUUGGAUUUUCUUCAUCGUGAACUAUGAAGGCUAGAAUGAGAACAUGUUCCUGUGUUAAGCAACCUCAUACAGAUUCAGAUUCAGUUUUAUAU